GCCGAAAAGAACCCCUGUUUUCUCUCCAUUUUACAAUUCUGCCACUUCAAGCACAAGGUGUUCUUACAAAGGGCAGAGCUAACUGAAAACAGAGAGGAGGGAGAGAGAGAGAGAGAGUGAGGAAUGGCGUUUAAUAAAAGGACUUCUGCGACAAAAGGACAAGCAGACCUGCCUACUACUGGUACUGGCGUUGAUCUUCUUUUUCUUUUUCUUUUUAAUUUUUCCUUCACGUCAAAUGAAACGGUUGAAGUGAGAGGAAAUUAGCGCCGUUAGCAACGGUCAAGUGUGUGGUCAGAAUAAUAAUAAAUAAAUAGAGUCCCCUAGCCUGGUUCUAAUUAAGUAUAUACUCAUCAUCAUCAAGUAUGAUAAUCAGUAAUCAGCAUGGUAAGCACGCGAGCCUUAUUUAUCUUUUUGUUGAUAAGAAUAUUCAACUGGGUGAACUGAAGAUGGUUACUGCGUUCAGCCAGCUAACAUAGCAUUUCUUGCGUGAAGAUGUUUAUACUCAUGAAUUUGAGACGGAAACUUUGUUAUAUAAUACAUACUUUCUGUAUAAUGUCCUACCUAUGCUAUCUGAUUUUUAAUUUUAUA